rnacentral:lncRNA from 1 species
AUGUAGUGAUGUGCAGGAUAGAAGUUAACACAGGAAGAUUUUCUCAUUUAACUGAUUGGGUCUAACUGGGGACAGUUCAAGGCAGUGUCACAGCUGGAGGUCUGGUGGUGGGGUUAGACCCCUGGUGAAAGCGUAGAGUUACGAUGUCAUGGUCCGUCUGCUCCUUUGUGACACGCAAGGGGGGAAUCAGGACUUGAUGGCAGAACAGAUUUUGUCCUUUGUUAGCUGCUUUGGCACAAAAGGCAAAAUGUAUGCAUGGGCUAUUAUGCACAGACCUCCUGGUGAGUUUGCUCGGAUCUGUCAGGAUAUCCUUUUGUACUAGUGUCAACAGGAGUAAUUCUAACUGUCAGUGGAGCUGAGGAGGUGAAAUCGGAAUUAUGACUGAUAUAUCUUGAUUUUCUGGCAUGAUGAAGGAAAAAGAACCUAUAAAAUGUUUGGGGAACUUCAAAUCCUGUGGUAUUCUAACUACUUUUCUAUUUCCUUCCUUUCUUUUCUUUAUUUUUUAGUUUAAUGAAAAACUGCUUUUUUUCCAUUCUCAAGUUUAUAAGGCUUCUUCCACUCUUCCACACCUAGUAAAACUGUUUUAUAGUAAUCGUUCACUUUUCAAAGUAUUAUAUGACUGAAAACCUCUCAUUCUGAUCUGCUGUCAUGUUUUUGUUUUGUUUUUCAUCACCAUCACAUAGGUCAGGGUGCAGCCACGAGGGUGGGAAGGACCUAGGAAGGCUGUUUCCCUCUCAGAUGAAGCAGCCUGGGUGCCCCAAUGAGCAAGUACUGAUGUACUAAACUCGGGCAGGCUCAGUACCAUACCCACGUCCCUGGGGAGCCUGUCCCAGUGCCCGACCACCUCCGGGUGCAGAACCUUUCCCUAACCCCCAGCCUGACCCUCCCCUGUCCCAGCUCCAUGCCGUUCCCUCGGGUCCUGUCGCUGUCCCCAGAGAGCAGAGCUCAGCGCCUGCCUCUCCGCUCCCCUCGUGAGGGAGCUGCAGGCCGGCAGGAGGCCUCCCCUCGGCCUGCUCUGCUCGGGGCUGAACAAACCAAGGGACCUCAGCCUCUCCUUAUGCGUCUUCCCUUCUAGAGCCCUCAUCUUUGUAGCCCUCCUUUGGACACUCUCUAAUAGUUUUAUGUUCUUCUUAUACUGUAGUGCCCAGAACUGCACAUAGCACUGGAGGUGAGGCCACACCAGUGCACAGCAGAGCAGGGCAAUCCCUUCCCUUGAC